rnacentral:rRNA from 1 species
UACGAAGGGGGGCUAGCGUUGCUCGGAAUCACUGGGCGUAAAGGGUGCGUAGGCGGGUCUUUUAAGUCAGGGGUGAAAUCCUGGAGCUCAACUCCAGAACUGCCUUUGAUACUGAGGAUCUUGAGUUCGGGAGAGGUGAUGGAACUGCGAGUGUAGAGGUGAAAUUCGUAGAUAUUCGCAAGAACACCAGUGGCGAAGGCGGCUCACUGGCCCGAUACUGACGCUGAGGCACGAAAGCGUGGGGAGCAAACAGG